AUUGAACGCUGGCGGCAGGCCUAACACAUGCAAGUCGAACGAGUGGCGGACGGGUGAGUAAUGUCUGGGAAACUGCCUGAUGGAGGGGGAUAACUACUGGAAACGGUCGCUAAUACCGCAUACCAUCGGAUGUGCCCACAUGGGAUUAGUUAGUAGGUGGGGUAAAGGCUCACCUAGGAGACGAUCUCUAGCUGGUCUGAGCGGAUGACCAGCCAAACUGGAACGGAGACACGGUCACGACUCCUACGGGAGGCAGCAGGGGGGAAUAUUGCACAAUGGGCGCAAGCCUGAUGCAGCCAUGCGGCGUGUAUGAAGAAGGCCUUCGGGUUGUAAAGUACUUUCAGCGGGGAGGCGUUACCCGCAGAAGAAGCACCGGCUAACUCCGUGCCAGCAGCCGCGGUAAUUC
rnacentral:rRNA from 1 species